CUGGGGGUUCAUAGCUGCAUUUUGGGGCUGGCAGCCAUCUGUACCUGGAAACUGCUUCUUUGGGGGAGCGAGUGAGUAUUGGUCCUUGGAAUGGGUUCCCUUGCUUCUGGAUUGCUUCAAUGAGCCCUAAUGAUGCUGAUUGGCUGACUGAGCGCUGCGGUUCUGGACACGGUGACAGUGGCAGCAGAGAGCUGCAGCGCUCCCGAGUGCUGUAAGGACUGCACGGAGAGAUGUGCGGGUCUUCACGGGAACAGCCAGGAACCGAAAGCUGCAUUUCCUGGGAUGCCCUGGAGCUCCACUUUGCUGACUGGUAAUUGUCUGCCCAGCAGGUGGCAGCAGAGAGCUGCAGCGCUCCCGAGUGCUGUAAGGACUGCACGGAGAGAUGUGCGGGUCUUCACGGGAACAGCCAGGAACCGAAAGCUGCAUUUCCCGGGAUGCCCUGGAACUCCACUUUGCUGACUGGUAAUUGUCUGCCCAGCAG
ensembl:lncRNA